rnacentral:rRNA from 1 species
CGGACUGUGGUAAUUAUGAUUGAAGAGCUUGCUCGGAGAGAUUAAUUACAAUGCAGUCAGUGGCGAACGGGUGAGUAACACGUGGGAAACCUACCUCUUAGCAGGGGAUAACAUUGGAAACAGAUGCUAAUACCGUAUAACAAUUAGAACCGCAUGGUUCAAGUUUAAAAGAUGGUUCUGCUAUCACUAAGAGAUGGUCCCGCGGCGUAUUAGCUAGAUGGUGAGGUAAUGGCUCACCAUGGCAAUGAUACGUAGCCGAGUUGAGAGACUGAUCGGCCACAUUGGGACUGAGACACGGCCCAAACUCCUACGGGAGGCAGCAGUAGGGAAUCUUCCACAAUGGACGAAAGUCUGAUGGAGCAACGCCGCGUGUGUGAUGAAGGCUUUCGGGUCGUAAAACACUGUUAUAAGAGAAGAACGUCAGUGAGAGUAACUGUUCAUUGAGUGACGGUAUCUUAUCAGAAAGGGACGGCUAAAUACGUG